ensembl:snRNA U6 U6 spliceosomal RNA
GUGCUCGCUUCGGCAGCAUAUAUACUAAUAUUGGAAUGAUACAGAGAAGAUUAGCAUGGCUCCUGCACAAGGAUGACACGCAAAUUCGUGAGCGUUCCAUUAAAGAA